CAGCCGCCGCGGUAAUACGAAGGGGGCUAGCGUUGCUCGGAAUGACUGGGCGUAAAGGGCGCGCAGGCGGUUAUAUAAGACAGAUGUGAAAUCCCCGGGCUCAACCUGGGACCUGCAUUUGUGACUGUAUAGCUAGAGUACGGUAGAGGGGGAUGGAAUUCCGCGUGUAGCAGUGAAAUGCGUAGAUAUGCGGAGGAACACCGAUGGCGAAGGCAAUCCCCUGGACCUGUACUGACGCUCAUGCACGAAAGCGUGGGGAGCAAACAGGAUUAGAUACCCGGGUAGUCCCUGUCUCUUAUAC
rnacentral:rRNA from 1 species